rnacentral:rRNA from 1 species
AGAGCGAACGCUGGCGGCAGGCCUAAACAUGCAAGUCGAACGGACCCUUCGGGGUUAGUGGCGGACGGGUGAGUAACACGUGGGAACGUGCCUUUUGGUUCAGAACAACUCAGGGAAACUUGAGCUAAUACUGAAUAAGCCCUACGGGGGAAAGAUUUAUCGCCAUUAGAGCGGCCCGCGUUGGAUUAGCUAGUUGGUGAGGUAAAGGCUCACCAAGGCUACGAUCCAUAGCUGGUCUGAGAGGAUGAUCAGCCACACUGGGACUGAGACACGGCCCAGACUCCUACGGGAGGCAGCAGUUAGGAAUCUUGCGCAAUGGGCGAAAGCCUGACGCAGCCAUGCCGCGUGAAUGAUGAAGGUCUUAGGAUUGUAAAAUUCUUUCAGUGGGGAAGAUAAUGACUGUACCCACAGAAGAAGCUCCGGCUAACUUCGUGCCAGCAGCCGC